rnacentral:rRNA from 1 species
CGAACGAUGAACCACUUCGGUGGGGAUUAGUGGCGAACGGGUGAGUAACACGUGGGCAAUCUGCCCUUCACUCUGGGACAAGCCCUGGAAACGGGGUCUAAUACCGGAUAACACUUCCACUCUCCUGAGUGGUGGUUAAAAGCUCCGGCGGUGAAGGAUGAGCCCGCGGCCUAUCAGCUUGUUGGUGAGGUAAUGGCUCACCAAGGCGACGACGGGUAGCCGGCCUGAGAGGGCGACCGGCCACACUGGGACUGAGACACGGCCCAGACUCCUACGGGAGGCAGCAGUGGGGAAUAUUGCACAAUGGGCGAAAGCCUGAUGCAGCGACGCCGCGUGAGGGAUGACGGCCUUCGGGUUGUAAACCUCUUUCAGCAGGGAAGAAGCGAAAGUGACGGUACCUGCAGAAGAAGCGCCGGCUAACUACGUGCCAGCAGCCGCGGUAAUACGUAGGGCGCAAGCGUUGUCCGGAAUUAUUGGGCGUAAAGAGCUCGUANGCGGCUUGUCACGUCGGGUGUGAAAGCCCGGGGCUUAACCCCGGGUCUGCAUUCGAUACGGGCAGGCUAGAGUGUGGUAGGGGAGAUCGGAAUUCCUGGUGUAGCGGUGAAAUGCGCAGAUAUCANGAGGAACACCGGUGGCGAANGNGGAUCUCUGGGCCAUUACUGACGCUGAGGAGCGAAAGCGUGGGGAGCGAACAGGAUUANAUACCCUGGUANUCCACGCCGUAAACGGNGGGAACUNNNGUUGGCGACAUUCCACGUCGUNNNGCCGCAGCUAACGCAUUAAGUUCCCGCCUGGGGAGUACGGCCGCNAGNUAAAACUCAAA